rnacentral:lncRNA from 1 species
GCAGGUCACGACUUGAGACUUGCUGAGAGACACGAGAAGAAUUCCAUGAAAAUAAAUCAAUGGAAGGACUCGAGCUGACUCAAAGGUGCAUGUAUUAGGGAAUAUGCCAAUACAACAAAACUAUCCGUGGAGGAUACUUCGGACAAAAAUCCGGACUCAGAUGGGGGGAAAAUCCACUAAGGGACUUCGCUGGGGAAUGUCCAAACAGGACUCAUCCGAGGAAACAACAGGAUGAGGUAUUACCGGUUGCUGG